GACGAACGCUGGCGGCGUGCCUAACACAUGCAAGUCGAACGAGACCUUCGGGUCUAGUGGCGCACGGGUGCGUAACGCGUGGGAAUCUGCCCUUGGGUUCGGGAUAACAGUUGGAAACGACUGCUAAUACCGGAUGAUGUCUUCGGACCAAAGAUUUAUCGCCCAGGGAUGAGCCCGCGUCGGAUUAGCUAGUUGGUGAGGUAAAGGCUCACCAAGGCGACGAUCCGUAGCUGGUCUGAGAGGAUGAUCAGCCACACUGGGACUGAGACACGGCCCAGACUCCUACGGGAGGCAGCAGUGGGGAAUAUUGGACAAUGGGCGAAAGCCUGAUCCAGCAAUGCCGCGUGAGUGAUGAAGGCCUUAGGGUUGUAAAGCUCUUUUACCCGGGAUGAUAAUGACAGUACCGGGAGAAUAAGCCCCGGCUAACUCCGUGCCAGCAGCCGCCGUAAAAC
rnacentral:rRNA from 1 species